AUUUUAUUUUACUUGGAAAUGGUUUUAGUGAACGCUUAAUAGGCUCAUAUUUUUAAGGAAAGGCGAGACAUUUUUGCUCGUAUUCGGUUUUGCUUUAUGACACUGCUUCAGACAAGCCACGGGAGCGCGCAUGGGAUGAGGAUAAGACGCGUAAGCGCUCCCGGUCUCUAGAGGCUCAGUGUGAGAUAAAUACAUAAAGAUACAGCCAGAAACAUUUUACUGAACAAACAGCUAAGUCUUUUAGAAGAUUUCCCUUGUUAUUAGAAAUUCUCAGCAACUUUGUUUUCAAAGUACUUUUUAAAAAGUUUAUAUAUUAUUAUAUAAUCGUUUAUGCUUUUAUCGCUUAGGUCAAUUAAAAGUGCUGAGUGGAAGUUCAGAGAUAACAAGGUCUUUAAAAAUAGAUCCGAUUAUUGGUAGCCAGUGCUGCUGUUUACAUCUGCCACGUUUCCCGGAGGACCGAGGGUCGUUCUGGCCUGCUUGGGAACCUGGAAGAAGCGCACGUCACGGAGACAGAGUCUCUGCGUAUCCAUGGCACGCUGGUGCGCACGCCAAAGACGCGCAUAAUUAAGCGCGUGUAAUCUCUAUUUCGCUUUCUGUCGCUAAGGCAACCAGGUAAACAGGUCUAUAAAACAAAAUGAAAACACGGAGAAGAGAAGUAGGUACCUAAUAGAAAAAUAAAUACAAUGAAAUAUAAAUGUAAAAAUUGCUACAAGUUGAAAACUUGCCCAAAGUGCCAAUCAAAUAUAUGGUUUACAUCGAUGUAGCUCAUGAUCAGUUUCGCUGAGUGUGAGUGAAAUUUGAUACUUUUGCUUGAUUUUUCAGUAUAAAAACAUUGGGACGUUUGAGCUUAUUGUAUAUUAGUUUAAUAAUUAUGCAAAUGAUCUCGUAUAGAUAGGUGUGUGUUCAUAGUACAUUUUAAUGAAUUAGCUUUGAAAACUGAGAACUAACAAUGUCCAAACUUUGUUUUUCAUAUCUUAACACAGAUUAUUUCAAUAACUGUUCUUUUUGUGUGUGUGUGGUUUUUUUUAAAGUUACUCUCCUCAUUACACUUGUAAGAUCACCAU
ensembl:lncRNA